AACUUCGCUUGCUUCAACUUUCAGAAAAAAUCGGGGCAAAAAGACUCAGUUGAGGGAUUCAAUUCAUCCGGACGAAAAAAAUUAGCGUUUAAAAACGCAUUAGCGCACAGAUAAAGAACGGAUAAAUAACAAUAAGCAACUUUGACAAUGAAGUUCCCGAUUCACAGACUUGAUACAGAUUGUUAGCAUCAUGUUUACCACAAUGAGUCUUGUAGAAAAACAGCGACACUGGCAUUCUAUAUAUAUUGAUUCUACUGUGUAACUUUAUCGCAAGCUUUAUCGCUUUCGUUAUUGUUAAACAAUGUUACAACCUGGAGCUCAAACAUCUACUUUUAUUUCAUCUAAAUAAUCGUAUAGGAUAUUUACCACGGACCGAAUUGUAUUUGGUGCAUUCGAACAGGAUGUGUAUAAUGUUCUCGUCAACGUUGCAGUUGUCGUAUCGUCCGGAAGGAAUCAAGUUCCAGCUAAAAAGUCUUUCUUUAAUCGCUGUGUGAAACCACACUGUAAAUUAGUGGCUUUGGUCAAAAAUGCAAAAUCAUCGGCGAAUUGGUAUAACCAACCUUCUUCGUUGAUGACCUCAUGGAUUAUCGAUGUAUAUAUAUUAAACAGUAUAGGCGAAAGUGGACAUCCCUGAGGAAGGCCUUUAUUCGUCUUUCUGAUUAGUUCUGUUCCAUCGUUCAUUGUUAGUGAGACAUUUCUAUAUUUAAGAUAAUUGUAUAUCCAGUCAAUGAUAUCAUAGGGAAUUUUUUUAAUUUCUAGUAUCUCAAUUAAUUUAUUUAGGUCGACAUUAUCGAAUGCCUUAGAGAGAUCGAGAAAUGUAACAAUAGCAAUUUCUCCCCUUCGUCUUGUUUCAUGAACAUUGGAUAUUAGAGCAUUA